AAAAAAAAAAAAAAAAUCUCUCUUCAAUCCCAUUGCUAAAGUCCCGCCCAUUCUGUGAUUCUGUGAUGUCUUCUCCCUUGUCAUUCAAAGUGUCCACUUUUGUUAUCACACUUGUCCACCUCGAUUACAGCUUGCUAACAUCCAUCCAUCGUCAAAAGAAUGAUCUUUCACUGGCCUGUGAAUUCUUAUAAUUUUAUUGCAAGAUUGCUUUAAGACCGAUCG
rnacentral:misc_RNA from 1 species